rnacentral:sRNA from 1 species
AACAGUAUAGGCUUUGAGGGCGGUCGGCUAGUCUCCCGGAAGGGAGGUGAUGCCAUGGAGGUUAAAGACGCUUUGAUGUUGAUGAUCGGUUUUGGUGCGCUAAUUAUCGCGUUGCUGACACUGGUUGUCGCAAUCGUCACAGCGUUUAACCAAAAGAAAUAGACCGCCCUCAACCCAGGGAUAACGGUCUAUUUCCAAUCACUUAUCCGCAAGCCUACCGCCCUUAAAAGCGGCUGUUGUGGGGAGUCGUGUUAGCGCACGGCUC